CCUGCCCAUUGAAUAAUUUAAAAGGCCGCAGUAUAUUAACUGUGCAAAGGUAGCAUAAUCAUUAGUUUUUUAAUUAAAGGCUUGUAUGAAGGGCUGGACAAAGAAAAAUCUGUUUCUAUUUUUAUAUUUGAAUUUAACUUUUAAGUGAAAAGGCUUAAAUAAAUUUAAGGGACGAUAAGACCCUAUAAAUCUUUAUAUUAAAUUAUUUUUAUUUUAUUAAUACCGUAGAUAUAAUGAUAAAGUAAUAAAUAUUAUAUUGGGGUGAUAAGAAUAUAAAAAAUUAACUGUUCUAAAAUUAAAACAAAAUUAUUUGAAAAAAAAUAAUAGAUCCUUUAUAAAGAUUAAAAGUUUAAGUUACUUUAGGGAUAACAGCGUUAUUUUUUUUGAGAGUUCUUAUCGAAAAAAAAGUUUGCGACCUCGAUGUUGAAUUAAAUUUUCUUUGUGGUGUAGUUAUUACAAAAGAGAGUCUGUUCGACUUUUAAAGGAGCUAGAGCU
rnacentral:rRNA from 1 species